rnacentral:rRNA from 1 species
AUGUGUGUCCCAUAGAACCAUGGAGGAAUGGCAUUCCGUGAUAUGCAGUGUUCAAUCUGGGCUAAGCAGGCUUGGCGUCUACUUGAUAACCCUGAUUCCUUGUGUGCCACUAUUCUAAGAGCAAAGUACUACCCUGAUGGCAAUUUGCUGAACUCCAGGCCAAAGCAUGGAGCAUCUUUCACCUGGCAAAGGAUUAGGGAGGGCAUA